rnacentral:lncRNA from 1 species
GGUGCGGGUAGUAAAUAACAGGGUAAACUUCAAAUACUACUUCCGUGGUUUCAGGCUUUCACAUUUUAAUAUUCUAUAGUUUAAAGCGUAUCAAAUUAGUAUUCUGUAGUUUUAUUUUUAUCUUUUUGUUAGCUUUUGCGUUAAUAUUUUGUUUAAUUAUAUAUAAAAAAAUUUCAGAUACCCCACCUAAAUUUAUCGAAUAUUUACCUCAAUACUUUUUAGUUUUAACUUUAUCACUGAUUUAACGAAAAAGUUAGUGGAAUCGCUAAUAAAAAAAUAAAAAUAAAAUCACAUGGCAUUAAAUUGAUACACUUUAAAGCAUAAGAUACUAAAGUGAGAAAGUGUGAAAUCACUUUGAUGGUAUUUGAAGUUUUUUCUAAAUAAUAACAACAAGCGGGAAGAGGAAUGAAAGAAGA